rnacentral:rRNA from 1 species
GUUUAUUUGAUAAUUGACAAUUACAUGGAUAACCGUGGUAGUUCUAGAGCUAAUACAUGCUUAAACGCCCGACUUUAUGGAAGGGUGGUAUUUAUUAGACUGAAGCCAAUAUUCCUUGUGUCUAUUGCGGUGAUUCAUAAUAACUGAUCGAAUCUCUUUUUGAGAUAAAUCAUUCAAGUUUCUGCCCUAUCAGCUUUCGAUGGUAGUGUAUUGGACUACCAUGGCAGUAACGGGUAACGAAGAAUUAGGGUUCGAUUUCGGAGAGGGAGCAUGAGAAACGGCUACCACAUCUAAGGAAGGCAGCAGGCGCGUAAAUUACCCAAUCCUGACUCAGGGAGGUAGUGACAAGAAAUAGCAAACCGGGAACCUCAUGGUUUCACGGUAUUGCAAUGAGAACAAUUUAAAACCCUUAGCGAGAAUCAAGUGGAGGACAAGUCUGGUGCCAGCACCCGCGGUAAUUCCAGCUCCACUAGCGUAUAUUAAAGUUGUUGCAGUUAAAAAGCUCGUAGUUGAACCUCUGUCUGGGGCUAGUUUUGGCUUUGGUCAGGCUAGUUCUAGGCAUCCGCCUACAAGACUUAGAGGGCAUUCAGUUGUUCACUAGGAGGAGUAGGCAUUUUACUUUGAAAAAAUUAGAGUGUUUAAGGCAGGCAAUCGCCCGCAUAUAUUAGCAUGGAAUAAUAGAAUAGGACACUUUUUCAUUUCGUUGGUUAUUGGAAUCGUGUAAUGAUUGAUAGGGACAGUUGUGGGCAUUUGUAUUUAAUUGUCAGAGGUGAAAUUCUUGGAUUUAUUAAAGACAAACUAACGCGAAAGCAUUUGCCAAGGAUGUUUUCAUUAAUCAAGAACGAAAGUUAGGGGAUCAAAGACGAUCAGAUACCGUCCUAGUCUUAACUAUAAACUAUUCCGACUCAAUGUUUGACUGGCUUAUAUAACCAGUUGAGCGUUGUAUGAGAAAUCAAAGUCUUUAGGUUCUGGGGGGAGUAUGGUUGCAAAGCUGAAACUUAAAGGAAUUGACGGAAGAGCACAACCAGGAGUGGAUUCUGCGGCUUAAUUUGACUCAACACGGGGAAACUUACCAGGUUAAAACAAUAGUGGGAUUGACAGUUUGAGAGCGCUUUCUUGAUUGGUUGGGUGGUGGUGCAUGGCCGUUCUUAGUUGGUGGAGUGAUUUGUCUGCUUAAUUGCGUUAACGAACGAGACCUUAACCUGCUUACUAGACUGGCGAUCGU